CAAAUACUCCCUCCAUCCAGAAAUACUUGUCACAGAAAUGCAUAAAAAUGGAUGUAUCUAGAACUAAAAUAUGUCUAGAUACAUCCAUUUCUCCGACAAGUAUUUCCGGACAGAGGGAGUAUAUC
rnacentral:pre_miRNA from 1 species